rnacentral:rRNA from 1 species
AGCCGCCGCGGGAACACCGGCAGCUCUAGUGGUAACAAUUUUAUUGGGCCUAAAGCGUCCGUAGCCGGUUUAAUAAGUCUCUGGUGAAAUCCUGCAGCUUAACUGUGGGAAUUGCUGGAGAUACUAUUAGACUUGAGACCGGGAGAGGUUUAGAGGUACUCCCAGGGUAGGGGUGAAAUUCUGUAAUCCUGGGAGGACCGCCUGUUGCGAAGGCGUCUAACUGGAACGGUUCUGACGGUGAGGGACGAAAGUUAGGGGCGCGAACCGGAUUAGAUACCCGGGUAGUCCUAACUGUAAACGAUGCGGACUUGGUGUUGGGUGGCUUUGAGCUGCUUCAGUGCCGAAGGGAAGCUGUUAAGUCCGCCGCCUGGGAAGUACGGUCGCAAGACUGAAACUUAAGGAAUUGGCGGGGGAGCACCACAACGCGUGGAGCCUGCCGGUUUAAUUGGAUUCAACGCCGGACAUCUCACCAGAGGCGACAGCUGUAUGAUAGCCAGGUUGAUGACUUUGCUUGACUAGCUGAGAGGAGGUGCAUGG